rnacentral:tRNA from 1 species
GCUCGAGUAGUAUAGCAGGUAGUACUUCAGAUCAUUUCUGACGACCAGGGUUCGAAUCCCUGCACGAGCA